UACGUAGGCAGCAAGCGUUGUCCGGAUUUACUGGGCGUAAAGAGCGCGCAGGCGGUCGUACAAGUCGCGUGUGAAAGCCCCCGGCUCAACUGGGGAGGGUCACGCGAUACUGUUCGACUCGAAGGCAGGAGAGGGAAGUGGAAUUCCCGGUGUAGUGGUGAAAUGCGUAGAUAUCGGGGAGGAACACCAGUGGCGAAGGCGACUUCCUGGCCUGUUCUUGACGCUGAGGCGCGAAAGCUAGGGUAGCAAACGGG
rnacentral:rRNA from 1 species